AUUGAACGCUGGCGGCAUGCCUUACACAUGCAAGUCGAACGGCAGCACGGGAGCAAUCCUGGUGGCGAGUGGCGAACGGGUGAGUAAUAUAUCGGAACGUGCCCAGUCGUGGGGGAUAACGUAGCGAAAGCUACGCUAAUACCGCAUACGAUCUAUGGAUGAAAGCGGGGGAUCGCAAGACCUCGCGCGAUUGGAGCGGCCGAUAUCAGAUUAGGUAGUUGUGGGGUAAAAGCCUACCAAGCCUUCGAUCUGUAGCUGGUCUGAGAGGACGACCAGCCACACUGGAACUGAGACACGGUCCAGACUCCUACGGGAGGCAGCAGUGGGGAAUUUUGGACGAAUAGGCGCGAAGACCUUGAUCCAGCAAUGCCGCGUGCAGGAUGAAGGGACCUCGGUUCGUAAGUACGUAC
rnacentral:rRNA from 1 species